AAGCUUCGGCAAACAUGAUAUUGACCGAAGCCCCCGUGUCUACGAGGAUUCGUCGAACAUCAAAGUUGGCUAUGUGAGCCUCCACGAUCAAUGGGUCGUUAUGAGGGUAGAUGAUGCCUCUUUCUUCCUCAGGGUAGAAACAUAUCGGAUCCCAGUUAGGUUUUUGAUACUUCCCUCCCCUGAUGUCUUCCACGUGAAACACUUGGUGACCAGGCCUCAGACUUCGUUCACUGUUUUUCAUGGCCCUAUUGGAAGAUUCAGAUAUGGG
rnacentral:lncRNA from 1 species